GGCAUGUUCUUAUUAGUUCAGGUUGGUCUCUCCGGUUCUUUUCGCCAAUGGCUUGAUGUACGCACUGGCAACCUCUUACUGGAAGGAUUCGGUAUGCCUCUGUUCGAGAGAUGGGAUAUGAAGAAAUGGUGUUCUGUAGGUUGUCUUC